UACGUAGGGGGCAAGCGUUGUCCGGAAUCAUUGGGCGUAAAGCGUGCGUAGGCGGUUGCUUAAGUCUGUUGUGAAAUCCCCGGGCUCAACCUGGGAAUGGCAAUGGAUACUGGGCAGCUAGAGUGUGUCAGAGGAUGGUGGAAUUCCCGGUGUAGCGGUGAAAUGCGUAGAGAUCGGGAGGAACAUCAGUGGCGAAGGCGGCCAUCUGGGACAACACUGACGCUGAGGCACGAAAGCGUGGGGAGCAAACAGG
rnacentral:rRNA from 1 species